UGCUGCAUGGCUGUCGUCAGCUCGUGUCGUGAGAUGUUGGGUUAAGUCCCGCAACGAGCGCAACCCUUGUCAUUAGUUGCUACGAAAGGGCACUCUAAUGAGACUGCCGGUGACAAACCGGAGGAAGGUGGGGAUGACGUCAAGUCCUCAUGGCCCUUAUGGGUAGGGCUUCACACGUCAUACAAUGGUACAUACAGAGCGCCGCCAACCCGCGAGGGGGAGCUAAUCGCAGAAAGUGUAUCGUAGUCCGGAUUGUAGUCUGCAACUCGACUGCAUGAAGUUGGAAUCGCUAGUAAUCGCGGAUCAGCAUGUCGCGGUGAAUACGUUCCCGGGUCUUGUACCACAACGCA
rnacentral:rRNA from 1 species